rfam:Heterocephalus glaber contig148040, whole genome shotgun sequence.
GAGGAUGGAGCUCGGGGGUAGAGCAUGUGCUUAGUAUGCAUGAGGGUCUGGGUUUGAUCCCCAGCAGCACCA